rnacentral:tRNA from 1 species
GGUAAGAUGGCUGAGUGUUUAAGCGGCGGGCUGUAGUCCCGUAGACAAGGGUUUGACUCCUUUUCUUAUCA